GGGGGGUUUGUUGUAGAUUGAUUCCAGCAAAGCUCCGGUAGAUACGUCUACUGUGGUCGGGUUAUCUUAAGCUAAUUCGGUGUAGCAUCUACGAUAGUAUAUCUGUUAUCAUUACGUAAUGUUAGCUCUUGUUUUGAAGCCAUAAUUCUGAAAGUCUGAGGCUACUUCCGGUUAUCUCCAGCUAGCAUCAGAAACAUCACGAUGGCAGCUGAGUCCGAGGUUCAGUCUGAGAUCGAGGUGCUGCAGUCCAUCUACCUGGAGGAGCUGCAGGUGGACAGAAGAGAGGACGGGGGCUGGCAGGUGAGUCUGGUUCUGUAUCCAUCCACUGCAGAGGACUCCGUCUCCCAGUUUGUCCGACUCACUCUGACUCUGACCCUCGAUCUGCAGGUAUGUCGACCUCCCACCCAGCUGAGCCACUCCUGA